AUUGACGCUGGCGGCAGGCCUAACACAUGCAAGUCGCACGGUAACAGGAAACAGCUUGCUGUUUCGCUGACGAGUGGCGGACGGGUGAGUAAUGUCUGGGAAACUGCCUGAUGGAGGGGGAUAACUACUGGAAACGGUAGCUAAUACCGCAUAACGUCGCAAGACCAAAGAGGGGGACCCUCGGGCCUCUUGCCAUCGGAUGUGCCCAGAUGGGAUUAGCUUGUUGGUGGGGUAACGGCUCACCAAGGCGACGAUCCCUAGCUGGUCUGAGAGGAUGACCAGCCACACUGGAACUGAGACACGGUCCAGACUCCUACGGGAGGCAGCAGUGGGGAAUAUUGCACAAUGGGCGCAAGCCUGAUGCAGCCAUGCCGCGUGUAUGAAGAAGGCCUUCGGGUUGUAAAGUACUUUCAGCGGGGAGGAAGGGAGUAAAGUUAAUACCUUUGCUCAUUGACGUUACCCGCAGAAGAAGCACCGGCUAACUCCGUG
rnacentral:rRNA from 1 species